UUUUUUUUUUUUUUUAGGGUUCGGUGUUUUACUGUUGAGCUGCUCAGUGCCCAGCUUAGAGGACCAGGAAAAGGAGUCACCGGCCGUAUGCUGGAGGCUUGAGCCGUGGCACAGCUCGCCUGGCUAUGGUUGAUGGUGGCAGUGGAGAUUGCGAUUGCAGCGCAUCUGGAGGGGUUGUUUGAGGGACGUUCAUCAAGGAAACCGGAGAAACUUAAAACGCUCUUCUGCUUCUUUGGAACAGUCACAGAGAAAAGUGAACUCCUUUCAUUCUUGCAGUAAUUUUUCUUGCUGAUGGGAACAGUUCAAGUCAAUUGACAUGUGAGGAACAUUUUGUGUUUAACGUAAACCUUCCUGUCCCAACCACAUUGAAACAGUAAUGAUGCGACAAGAUAACUUCGGCUUUAUGCUUGUGUUGUGUAUAAGCAUAAAUGUGUGCUAUAAAUGUAGGGGGGCGGGGUUUACAUACUCUGAAAUCGGACCCAUAUUCUCUGAAAUCUAAUAUACAUCAAAACAUUUUCAUGAAUAAAAACCAGAGAAAGUA